rnacentral:rRNA from 1 species
AACGAACGCUGGCGGCGUGCUUAACACAUGCAAGUCGAACGAGAACGGGCUAUAGCUUGCUAUAGUUGUCAGCUAAGUGGCGCACGGGUGAGUAAUGUAUAGGUAAUAUGCCUCUUACUAAGGGAUAACAAAUGGAAACGUUUGCUAAUACCUUAUACUCCUUAUUAACAUAAGUUAAUAAGGGAAAGAUUUAUUGGUAAGGGAUUAGCCUGUAUUGUAUCAGUUAGUUGGUGGGGUAAUGGCUUACCAAGACUAUGACACAUAACUGGUUUGAGAGGAUGAUCAGUCACACUGGAACUGAGACACGGUCCAGACUCCUACGGGAGGCAGCAGUGGGGAAUAUUGCACAAUGGACGAAAGUCUGAUGCAGCAACGCCGCGUGGAGGAUGACACAUUUCGGUGCGUAAACUCCUUUUAUAUGAGAAGAUAAUGACGGUAUUAUAUGAAUAAGCACCGGCUAACUCCGUGCCAGCAGCCGCAGUAA